rnacentral:lncRNA from 1 species
AAGAGGAGGAGCAGGGUUGAAAAGUUCAUGUACCAGAGCCUGCCCUACCUGAGGGACCCUCAGUCCCCUGUGCGCCUGGCAGCCGUCAGGUUCAUCGGGUGCGCCACGAGGCACAUGAGGGACCAGGACAUGGAGACCCAGGCUCACAUCCUCACUGGUGAGUGGCAUGUGGGGAAUCUGGGGAGGCUCUGCAGACACACGGCUUCAUCUUGGCUCUGUUUGUUUGGGUCACAGCCCUUCAGCCCUUGGAGAGAGACAAGGACAUCUCAAUCAGCUCCCUGGCAGCCCACACAGGCUUGCUCCUGAGAGCUCCAAGGGUGCAGAGAAGAUCGUGGGUCAUUCUACACACACUGUGCUGCUGGUGUCGGUGAGCUCAGCAGAGCUGCAGCUGUCUGUGCAUUAAUAAAGCUGGAGAAACACAUCCA